rnacentral:rRNA from 1 species
UACAGGGGGGGCAAGCGUUGUUCGGAAUUACUGGGCGUAAAGGGCUCGUAGGUGGCCAACUAAGUCAGUCGUGAAAUCCCUCAGCUUAACUGGGGAACUGCGUCUGAUACUGGAUGGCUUGAGUUUGGGAGAGGGAUGCGGAAUUCCAGGUGUAGCGGUGAAAUGCGUAGAUAUCUGGAGGAACACCGGUGGCGAAGGCGGCGUUCUGGACUGCAACUGACACUGAGGAACGAAAGCCAGGGGAGCAAACGGG